rnacentral:miRNA from 1 species
AUUAUUGCUCGAGAAUACCCGU